UACGGAAGGCAGCAGUGGGGAAUAUUGCACAAUGGGCGAAAGCCUGAUGCAGCUAUGCCGCGUGUAUGAAGAAGGCCUUAGGGUUGUAAAGUACUUUCAUCGGGGAGGAAAAACAAAACUAAUAAUUUUAUUUCUUGACGUUACCCGAAAAAGAAGCACCGGCUAACUCCGUGCCAGCAGCCGCGGUAAUACGGAGGGUGCUAGCGUUAAUCAGAAUUACUGGGCGUAAAGAGCACGUAGGUGGUUUUUUUAAGUCAGAUGUGAAAUCCCUGGGCUUAACCUAGGAACUGCAUUUUGAAACUGAAAUACUAGAGUAUCGUAGAGGGAGGUAGAAUUCUAGGUGUAGCGGUGAAAUGCGUAGAUAUCUGGAGGAAUACCUGUGGCGAAAAGCGGCCUCCUAAACGAAUACUGACACUGAGGUGCGAAAAGCGUGGGGAGCGAAAACAGGGAUUAGAUACC
rnacentral:rRNA from 1 species